UGAAUGGAUUGAUCACUGUCCUCCAUAACGAUUCUUUGAUCGAAAGUAUUUAGAAAUUAACCAUUAAUGAUGUAUGUCUCAAAUUCUCAAUACCUUGAGAAUAAACAAAAUUAUCUUUAUUAAUUUUUAGGAUAAAUCAUAGAGACAUAUGAUAUGAUUGGUUAUCAAGACUGUCCAUCAAGUACAAAGUAUCCCCUAGAUAAAGAUAUGUGUCAGUGA
rnacentral:lncRNA from 1 species